UACGUAGGGCGCAAGCGUUGUCCGGAAUUAUUGGGCGUAAAGAGCUCGUAGGCGGUUUGUCACGUCGGCUGUGAAAACCCGAGGCUCAACCUCGGGCCUGCAGUCGAUACGGGCAGACUAGAGUGCUGUAGGGGAGACUGGAAUUCCUGGUGUAGCGGUGAAAUGCGCAGAUAUCAGGAGGAACACCGGUGGCGAAGGCGGUUCUCUGGGACGGUACUGACGCUGAGACGCGAAAGCGUGGGGAGCGAACAGG
rnacentral:rRNA from 1 species